GAUGAACGCUGGCGGCGUGCUUAACACAUGCAAGUCAAACGAUGAACCGGGUGCUUGCACUCGGGGAUUAGUGGCGAACGGGUGAGUAACACGUGAGCAACCUGCCCCUGACUCUGGGAUAAGCGCUGGAAACGGCGUCUAAUACUGGAUAUGUCCCGUCACCGCAUGGUGUGCGGGUGGAAAGAUUUUUCGGUUGGGGAUGGGCUCGCGGCCUAUCAGCUUGUUGGUGAGGUAAUGGCUCACCAAGGCGUCGACGGGUAGCCGGCCUGAGAGGGUGACCGGCCACACUGGGACUGAGACACGGCCCAGACUCCUACGGGAGGCAGCAGUGGGGAAUAUUGCACAAUGGGCGGAAGCCUGAUGCAGCAACGCCGCGUGAAGGAUGACGGUCCUCGGAUUGUAAACUUCUUUUAUAUUUGAAGAUUAUGACGGUAAAAUAUGAAUAAGCAUCGGCUAACUACGUGCCAGCCGCCGCCGUAA
rnacentral:rRNA from 1 species